rnacentral:rRNA from 1 species
ACUUAACUUGGAGUCCAGAACUCUCACUUUCUAACCCUGUGCACUUGUUUGGGAUAGUAACUCUCGCAAGAGAGCGAACUCCUAUUCACUUAUAAACACAAAGUCUAUGAAUGUAUUAAAUUUUAUAACAAAAUAAAACUUUCAACAACGGAUCUCUUGGCUCUCGCAUCGAUGAAGAACGCAGCGAAAUGCGAUAAGUAAUGUGAAUUGCAGAAUUCAGUGAAUCAUCGAAUCUUUGAACGCACCUUGCGCUCCAUGGUAUUCCGUGGAGCAUGCCUGUUUGAGUGUCAUGAAUACUUCAACCCUCCUCUUUCUUAAUGAUUGAAGAGGUGUUUGGUUUCUGAGCGCUGCUGGCCUUUACGGUCUAGCUCGUUCGUAAUGCAUUAGCAUCCGCAAUCGAACUUCGGAUUGACUUGGCGUAAUAGACUAUUCGCUGAGGAAUUCUAGUCUUCGGAUUAGAGCCGGGUUGGGUUAAAGGAAGCUUCUAAUCUAGAAUGUCUACAUUUUAAGAUUAGAUCUCAAAUCAG